CGAGGUCACUGAUCAGAGAAGAGAAAAAGAACUCAUUUCGGUGCAGUUUUUAUCCCAAAAGCAGCCAAUAUUGCGGUUUUACUCUACGAAAUCUAGAGACCCGAAUGAAUGGAAGAACGACGAAAACGGCGAAGAAUAUUGAGCACGUGAGUUCCAUCCAUUCUUCGGAGUCGCGCGGAGCUUCAAUCAACGUGGUAAUGAAUUUGGCGCCUACUGCUUGGUGAAUUCGUGCACAGAGUAUAGCAGAUGCAUCGAGCGGAGCAACGAUUAUAGGAAGACAGUCGAAUGCGCGGGAUGAAGGGAAAGCGCGAGGAGCAGGUUGGAAGGAGAGACGAAUUGAAAACUCACGAGAUUGCCAGUGAAAAUGACCCGCGACAAUCACCCACGAUUCGGGAAACCUGCCAGAAACAACUACUUGCUGAAUGUCGACUGGUGAGCGUUACGUCAGCGCAGGGAUUAGGCGACUGA